UAGGAAUCUGCCCGAUAGUGGGGGAUAACCUGGGGAAACCCAGGCUAAUACCGCAUACGUCCUACGGGAGAAAGCAGGGGCCCUUCGGGCCUUGCGCUAUCGGAUGAGCCUAUGUCGGAUUAGCUAGUUGGUGAGGUAAUGGCUCACCAAGGCGACGAUCCGUAGCUGGUCUGAGAGGAUGAUCAGCCACAUCGGGACUGAGACACGGCCCGAACUCCUACGGGAGGCAGCAGUGGGGAAUAUUGGACAAUGGGCGCAAGCCUGAUCCAGCCAUGCCGCGUGUGUGAAGAAGGCCUUCGGGUUGUAAAGCACUUUCAGCGAGGAAGAAAGCCUUGGGCCUAAUACGCCCGAGGGAGGACAUCACUCGCAGAAGAAGCACCGGCUAACUCCGUGCCAGCAGCCGCGGUAAUACGGAGGGUGCGAGCGUUAAUCGGAAUUACUGGGCGUAAAGCGCGCGUAGGUGGCUUGAUAAGCCGGUUGUGAAAGCCCCGGGCUCAACCUGGGAACGGCAUCCGGAACUGUCAGGCUAGAGUGCAGGAGAGGAAGGUAGAAUUCCCGGUGUAGCGGUGAAAUGCGUAGAGAUCGGGAGGAAUACCAGUGGCGAAGGCGGCCUUCUGGACUGACACUGACACUGAGGUGCGAAAGCGUGGGUAGCAAACAGGAUUAGAUACCCUGGUAGUCCACGCCGUAAACGAUGUCGACUAGCCGUUGGGAGCCUCGAGUUCUUAGUGGCGCAGUUAACGCGAUAAGUCGACCGCCUGGGGAGUACGGCCGCAAGGUUAAAACUCAAAUGAAUUGACGGGGGCCCGCACAAGCGGUGGAGCAUGUGGUUUAAUUCGAUGCAACGCGAAGAACCUUACCUACCCUUGACAUCGUGCGAACUUUCCAGAGAUGGAUUGGUGCCUUCGGGAACGCACAGACAGGUGCUGCAUGGCUGUCGUCAGCUCGUGUUGUGAAAUGUUGGGUUAAGUCCCGUAACGAGCGCAACCCCUGUCCCUAUUUGCCAGCGAUUCGGUCGGGAACUCUAGGGAGACUGCCGGUGACAAACCGGAGGAAGGUGGGGACGACGUCAAGUCAUCAUGGCCCUUACGGGUAGGGCUACACACGUGCUACAAUGGCAGGUACAAAGGGUUGCAAGACGGCGACGUGGAGCUAAUCCCAUAAAGCCUGCCUCAGUCCGGAUCGGAGUCUGCAACUCGACUCCGUGAAGUCGGAAUCGCUAGUAAUCGUGAAUCAGAAUGUCACGGUGAAUACGUUCCCGGGCCUUGUACACACCGCCCGUCACACCA
rnacentral:rRNA from 1 species